rnacentral:rRNA from 1 species
UACGUAGGGUGCGAGCGUUAAUCGGAAUUACUGGGCGUAAAGCGUGCGCAGGCGGUAAGUUAAGUCUGAUGUGAAAGCCCCGGGCUCAACCUGGGAAUGGCAUUGGAAACUGGCUUGCUGGAGUGUGGCAGAGGGGGGUGGAAUUCCGCGUGUAGCAGUGAAAUGCGUAGAUAUCUGGAGGAACACCGGUGGCGAAGGCGGCAUUCUGGACCAUAACUGACACUGAGAGACGAAAGCCAGGGGAGCAAACGGG